UUGGAGGGCAAGUCUGGUGCCAGCAGCCGCGGUAAUUCCAGCUCCAAUAGCGUAUAUUAAAGUUGUUGCAGUUAAAAAGCUCGUAGUUGAAUUUCGGGAUCAGUACGCCGGUCGUGCCUUCGGUAUGUACUGGUGUCACUGAUUCCUCCCUUCUGACGAACCGUUAUGCCAUUUAUUUGGUGUGGCGGGGAAUCAGGACUGUUACUUUGAAAAAAUUAGAGUGUUUAAAGCAGGCUCGCGCUUGAGUACAUUAGCAUGGAAUAAUGAAAUAGGACGUUUGAUUCUAUUUUGUUGGUUUCUAGGAUCGACGUAAUGAUUAAUAGGGAUAGUUGGGGACAUUAGUAUUCAAUUGUCAGAGGUGAAAUUCUUGGAUUUAUUGAAGACUAACCACCGCGAAAGCAUUUGCCAAGGAUGUUUUCAUUAAUCAAGAACGAAAGUUAGGGGAUCGAAGACGAUCAGAUACCGUCGUAGUCUUAACCAUAAACUAUGCCGACUAGGGAUCGGAUGAUGUUAAUUUUUUAAUGACUCAUUCGGCGCCUUACGGGAAAC
rnacentral:rRNA from 1 species